rnacentral:lncRNA from 14 species
GCCUCUUCCAUUCCAUUAGUCACCAUCUUUUGGAUGAGGGUUUUUCCUUGUUACAAGUCUGAAGACCAGGCUGGGAAGAGACCAAGCAGCUGGGACUCUACAUGAAAGACUAUGCCACCUUUCCGAGCCACUCCAUACCAAUAUUUGCUCUUCUGGUUCAGAAGAAAUCUGUCCUUCUGGCAAACUUUGAUUCCCUGUAGAAUUCAUCCCAUGUGCAAAAAAUUGAAUGAAAC